rnacentral:piRNA from 1 species
UGAUUUGCUGUGUUAGCUGGUUUUGC